GUUUUUUCUUGUUAACUUGUUCUUUUCAGGCUCAAAUGAAUUAGGGGGCUUGCUAGCUUCCUUCUUCAGCUCAGCUGUUCAUGGCCUGCAUGCAUGUUGGCAUUUUGAAGCAUACUGUAUCACUUCCUCUCCUGAUCAAAAUAAGGAUUGCUUUCUCUUCUCUCCUUCCAGUGGAGUUUGUGUUCCUCUCUUGGCUGAACUGGUGGCUGAGAUUCUGCCCUGAGGAGUGCUGCUUAUAUCAGGGAUUGAGGAUGGUACAGUGUCAUCCUCAGAGACGUUGUUCCCACUGCUCUGAGAGAGGCUGUAUCCCAUCAUUCAGGCGCUGCAACAAUCACUGGAUGAUCUUCAAAAUCUCAGCAGCCACGUCAUUAAAGAUCUGCAAAGUACAGUGCUUAGGGAAUGAAACAGAACUUGAGAGACUUCCUUUUGCCUGCACCUCUGUGGAAACAGUGUGA
rnacentral:lncRNA from 1 species